rnacentral:rRNA from 1 species
AACGAACGCUGGCGGCAUGCCUAACACAUGCAAGUCGAACGAGUACCUUCGGGUGCUAGUGGCGCACGGGUGAGUAACGCGUGGGAACCUGCCUUUCGGUACGGGAUAACGUUUGGAAACGAACGCUAAUACCGUAUAUGUCUUUGGAUGAAAGAUUUAUCGCCGGAGGAGGGGCCCGCGUCUGAUUAGGUAGUUGGUGAGGUAAUGGCUCAGCAAGCCUUCGAUCAGUAGCUGGUCUGAGAGGAGGAUCAGCCAAACUGGGACUGAGACACGACCCAGAAUCCGACGGGAGACAGCAGUGGGGAAUAUUGGACAAUGGGCGCAAGCCUGAUCAAGCAAUGCCGCGUGAGAGAUGAAGGCCUUCGGGUUGUAAAGCUCUUUUACCUGCGACGAUGAUGAAGGUAGCAGGAGAAUAAGCCCCGGCUAACUUCGUGCCAGCCGCCGCGGUAAUAC